CGUUAAGUAGACCGCCUGGGGAGUACGGCCGCAAGGUUAAAACUCAAAUGAAUUGACGGGGGCCCGCACAAGCGGUGGAGCAUGUGGUUUAAUUCGAUGCAACGCGAAGAACCUUACCUGGUCUUGACAUCCACAGAAGAAUCCAGAGAUGGAUUUGUGCCUUCGGGAACUGUGAGACAGGUGCUGCAUGGCUGUCGUCAGCUCGUGUUGUGAAAUGUUGGGUUAAGUCCCGCAACGAGCGCAACCCUUAUCCUUUGUUGCCAGCGGUUAGGCCGGGAACUCAAAGGAGACUGCCAGUGAUAAACUGGAGGAAGGUGGGGAUGACGUCAAGUCAUCAUGGCCCUUACGACCAGGGCUACACACGUGCUACAAUGGCGCAUACAAAGAGAAGCGACCUCGCGAGAGCAAGCGGACCUCAUAAAGUGCGUCGUAGUCCGGAUUGGAGUCUGCAACUCGACUCCAUGAAGUCGGAAUCGCUAGUAAUCGUGGAUCAGAAUGCCACGGUGAAUACGUUCCCGGGCCUUGUACACACCGCCCGUCACACCAUGGGAGUGGGUUGCAAAAGAAGUAGGUAGCUUAACCUUCGGGAGGGCGCUUACCACUUUGUGAUUCAUGACUGGGGUGAAGUCGUAACAAGGUAACCGUAGGGGAACCUGCGGUUGGAUCACCUCCUUACCUUA
rnacentral:rRNA from 2 species